rnacentral:rRNA from 1 species
GACGAACGCUGGCGGCGUGCUUAACACAUGCAAGUCGAGCGGAGCGGCGAACGGGUGAGUAACGCGUGAGUAACUGCCCCCCUCUCUGGGAUAACAGUUGGAAACGGCUGCUAAUACCGGAACGUGGGGGUUGACGCGCGUCCUAUCGGCUUGUUGGGGGGGUAGUGGCCUACCAAGGCGACGACGGGUAGACGUCCUGGGAGGGCGACCGGCCACAUUGGGCUGAGAUACGGACCAAACUCCUACGGGAGGCAGCGGUGGGGAAUAUUGCACAAUGGGGGAAACCCUGAUGCAGCAGCGCCGCGUGCGGGAUGACGGCCUUCGGGUUGUAAACCGCUUUCAGCCAUGACGCGGUAGUGGCAGAAGAAGCACCGGCUAACUACGUGCCAGCAGCCGCGGUAAUUC